CAUCCGACCAGCUGCACGGUCCGCCGUGCGCUCUGCAGAUCAUUCGGCUUCGCGGGGGAAAAGAAGAGGAGCGAUGAAGACAGUGAUGAUAAGGAUGUGUAUGCCCAUGUGAUUGUCUGGUUGUGUAUGUGUAUGUGUGAACAGGCCACAGCUGCUUCGUCAAGGUCUGUUCAUGAAGACAGUCCUGGCUUAUCAGUCCAUGGCAGAUAAGGAGGGGGUGUUGGUGGGGGCACUAGCUUCCGUGCAUACCUUCCAUCCAGGGGAAAGGGGUCCAAAUAGCGUUGUUUGUUUUGGAGGGAUGGCCGCCAACCAUUUCAGGUGGCCUUGAGUCAGUGGCUGUAUCCCUUCACUGGCGCCGAUCAGCCAAAUCCUCAAUUCCUUUUUGAAGCAAGAAUUCCACUUUUCCCUGUUGCUGUUGAUCGUACGGAGACGCUCCAGAACCGCAAUUGCGGUUCAGCUCAGUCACCGCUUGAGUCUGAGUGUUGGAUAUUCGCGCUAGACGAUCAAGAAUGACCGGCAGCUUCUGCACAUCCAAUACAGCUGCUCCCGUCGGUUGGAUUUUGUGUUAGAACAGGAAACUGCUAACACCAAACUGCAGCAUACCUGCUAUCAGAAGGCCGAUAAUGUAGAUGUCUUCCUCCUCCUCAAUGGACAGGUGUGCCCAGCAGCAAAUGUCCCGAGGGGCAAGCAGGCUCCCCACUGCCUGCUCUUCUCGUCGAGAAAACCUUGUUGAUUGCAUCAAGAAACCAGCCAACCAAUUCCAUGGCUUGUUU